GUGAAUCAUCGAAUUUUUGAACGCAAAUUGCACUCCCUGGUAUUCCGGGGAGUAUGCCUGUUUGAGGGUCGGUAGAACAAAAAUCUGAUUGACGCCCUUUGUUUUUAAGGGUGUUCGCGUCGGAAUUGAGCCGUCUUUCAAAUGGUAAUGUAUGUCAAACUGGCUUUAAAUUCAUCCAUGCGGUACGAUUAAUGCGUAUUUAAGAUCAACCUUGAUUGAGAA
rnacentral:misc_RNA from 1 species